AAGUCGUAACAAGGUUUCCGUAGGUGAACCUGCGGAAGGAUCAUUAUUGAAUAAACCUGGUGCGAUUGCAGCUGGUCCUCUCGGGGGCAUGUGCUCAUCGUGUCAUUUUUAUAUCUCCACCUGUGCACUCUUGUAGACCUGGACGAUAACUUGUGAGGCAUAUAUUGCUUAAGCAAUCUCGCAUUAUUAUUCAGGACUAUGUUAUUCAUAUACCCCAAAGCAUGUAACAGAAUGUAUCUAUAUGGCUUUUUGCCUAUAAAACUAUAUACAACUUUCAGCAACGGAUCUCUUGGCUCUC
rnacentral:misc_RNA from 1 species